rnacentral:rRNA from 1 species
GAUGAACGCUAGCGGCAGGCUUAACACAUGCAAGUCGAGGGGUAUGGUUCUUCGGAACUAGAGACCGGCGCACGGGUGCGUAACGCGUAUGCAAUCUACCUUUUACAGAGGGAUAGCCCAGAGAAAUUUGGAUUAAUACCUCAUAGUAUUACGACUCGGCAUCGAGAUGUAAUUAAAGUCACAACGGUAAAAGAUGAGCAUGCGUCCCAUUAGCUAGUUGGUAAGGUAACGGCUUACCAAGGCUACGAUGGGUAGGGGUCCUGAGAGGGAGAUCCCCCACACUGGUACUGAGACACGGACCAGACUCCUACGGGAGGCAGCAGUGAGGAAUAUUGGACAAUGGGCGCACGCCUGAUCCAGCCAUGCCGCGUGCAGGAUGACGGUCCUAUGGAUUGUAAACUGCUUUUAUACGAGAAGAAACACUCCGACGUGUCGGAGCUUGACGGUAUCGUAAGAAUAAGGAUCGGCUAACUCCGUGC